rnacentral:misc_RNA from 1 species
AACUGAUACUACCUGCGGGAACCUGCGGAAGGAUCAUUAUAGAGUACCUUACUCACUACCCUUUGUGAACUAUUAUACCUGUUGCCUCGGCGGCGCCCCCCGUGGGUGCCCGCCGGUCUACUAGAAUCUCUGUUUUCGAACCCGACGAUACUUCUGAGUGUUCUUAGCGAACUGUCAAAACUUUUAACAAUGGAUCUCU